ensembl:lncRNA
CACAGUGAGACAGUAUAUAGCAGGCACUAUUCCAAGCACUUAGCAUAAAUUAACACUUUUUAUCUGCAUGAAAACUUUGUGAAACAGAGAUUAUCAGUAUCCUCAUUUUUACCGAUGAGGAACCUGGAACACAGAGAGGUUAAGUAACUUGUCCAAAGUCAUCCAGCAAAAAUGGCGGAGGUGGGAUUUGAAUUCAGACACACCGAUCUGAGGGUCUGCGAAGUAACACUAACAUAACUAACCUGCUUAGGAGAAACAAGUUCAAUUUCUCCCCCAAAUUAAUACUCUCAACGUGUUGCCUCAUCCUGACGACCCUGAAGGGAAGCUGCACCUUUUGGAGUAACACUAGUGGGCAGGGGCGGGGGCGGGGGCGGUCCGGAGCCCCCCUCUCACAGCCAGCUCAGCCUGUCCCCUCUCUUGUGUCCAGUCAAGCCUCCCUCCCACUCCCAGGAAAAGUCUGUCUGGCAAAGUCUUCCAAGUUCAGAACCUUGGCAGGCGCAGUUUGCCAGAAGGAAGCCCACGACUCCGGGAAAUGGCUGUUUGUCCCUCUGCCACAGGGCAAGGGUGUCGGAGGCGGGCCCUGGGAGAGCCUAAGGAGGACUGGCUUGCACCUCGACUCGCACCCUCAGCGGGGGUGCUGGGGACAUCUGUGGCCCCCCGCCUAGGUCUGGCAGCGUCCUCCAGCUCCCUGGAAGCGCCCGGUCCCCAGAGCCCCCUCUGGAGCCGCCGACCCAGCCGCAGGCCCGGCGAGGGCUCCAGACUCUGCCCGAAGCGACUGCGUCCCUGUGGUUCUCGCCGUGAGUCACAGCGGGUCUGCGCCGCCCUCCUAUCUGGGGAGCCGGAGAUCGCCUUUAAUUCCCUCCAGCUGGGCCCUGCAGGGCUGAGGGCACCGUCUAGAAGUCGUUUUUGAUUAGAAGUUGACCUCAGAAGUAUGCGCGCAUCAUUUUCAAAACAUCCGCCAGCACCGCAGAAACCGAUGCAGCAUAAGGGUCCCGGCGGACGGAGGCCAGGGACCGCGGCGGGGGGGCGGGGGGGGGCACCGGCCUCAGUCAAAGCUGGGGUGCCGUCCCCCAUCAGCUCCCCGGAAAGCGCACUGACCUGGGGCCAGCCGGGGGCGACAGGGACGCUUGUCCUCGUCGUGGUCGUCCUCAUGCAAUGCCGGCCGAUAUUAGAGUCGUUACAGACCACGCCGUUCUCACGGAGCUGUCUGUCCAGCAGCAUCUUGUCAGGCAGGCACUCCUGGAGUUUGCGGUCUGAGCGGCAUUGUCAGUACUUCUCAGGAGCUGGGAGGUCAGAGUGGAAGGUCAAAGCCCCUGACCCACUUGGGUGGGGCUAUCUGGUGGCAGAAUCAGAGGUCCCCCUGGGAACACAGAGCCCGAGGCAAAGCCUGCUCAGCCCCGCGGGAGAAGCUCUGAGCCGGUGAGGUGGCAAAGGGGUGUCAGAGGUGGUGAGCAGGACGUGAGUGGGGUUCAAGGUCGGCGGUGAUAGGAGAGGGGAGGAAGUUGGCUACACGGGCUGGCGAGCAGCAGAAAGCUAAGGCUGACCAAGGUCAGCUGUGUGCACCCAUGCUCAGUCAUGUCUGACUCUUUGAGACUUCGUGGCCUGUAGCCCGCCAGGCUCCUCUGUCCAUGGGAUUUUUCCAUGGUAAAAAUACUGGAGUGGGUUGCCAUUUCCUUCUCCAGGGGAUCUUCCUGACCCAGGGAUCGAACCUGUGUCUCCUGCAUUGGAAGGCAGAUGCUUUACCCCUGAACCCCCUGGGAAGCCCGACCACAGUCUUGGUUCUGGUUAUCUGCUGUCCACUCUGUGCCACGUGGUCUGUGAAGAUAGACCUGGAGGCUGGAAGUCCAAAAUCAAAGUGUCUGCCAGGCCAUGGUCCCUCUGACGGCUCCAGGGGCUCCUUGGCUCAUGGCAGCCCAGCCCUAGUCUCUGCCCCCGUCUUCACGAGGCCGGCUCUGCCUUUUCCUCCUCUUAGAAGGACACUCAGCACUGGGUUUAGGCCCCACCCCCACCCCCAGAUAAUCCAGGGUGAUCUUGAGGUCACUGUAUAAUGCCAAGGACGCUUUUUCCAAAUAAGCCCGCCAGGCUCCUCUCUCCGGAUUCUCGAGGCAAGAACACUGGAGAGGGUUGCCGUCUCCUCCUCCAGGAGAUCUUCCCGACCCAGGGAUCGAACCCGCGUCUCUUACAUCUCCUGCAUUGGCAGGCGGGUUCUCUACCUCCAGCACCACCACGAGGCCCCAUUUAACCUGCAACGGUCAGUAAGACCUAUUUCCCCCCCUUAAGCGGGAGCUUCCUGAGAAUGGAAACUGCGCCUCCCUUCCUUCCUCCCUCCCUGCCUCCCUUCCUUCCAGAAAUAUCGAGGGAACGCCUGCCAUGGUCCAGGCACAGUGCUGGGCCCCGGGGAGACGGAAGCAAUGCAAACAUGUCCAUUAGCUGCCUUCACAGAGCUGGCUCUGCAGUGGGGGAGGCAGACCCAGGAGAAACAGGCAUUCCCGAAGGCUGCACGUGGAGCUGCAGAGGAAAGCAGGGAGGGGCACGACCAGCAGGGCUGGGGGCUGGCUAGGGCGGGAUGGGCCGACCAGCUCCAACCAGGGAGGUCAGGGAAGGCGUCACGGGAGGUGUGACACCUGGGCUGGACCCCAGAUGUGGAGCCAGACCAGGUUGGAAGCUGCCCUCACUUCCUGGCCGAGUGUGAUCUUGGCCAGUUGCUGCACCCCCUGUGCCUCAGUUUCCUCGUAGGUAAAGUUCUGGCAGCAACGACAUGGUCUCCUGGAACCACCCCGAGGGUUCGGGGAGUGAACCUGUGAGGUUCUUUCACAACCACAGGAUUCCUAGAACUUGCUUCAUGCUGCUGCUGCUGCUGCUAAGUCGCUUCAGUCGUGUCCAACUCUGUGGAGCCCCAUAGACGGCAGCCCACCAGGCUCCUCCGUCCCCGGGAUUCUCCAGGGGCCACAAGACAUGUGGGAUCUGAGCUCCCUGACCAGGGAUUGAACCCACACCCUCUGCAUUGGAAGGCAAAUUCCCAACCCCUGGACCACCAGGGAAGUCCCUG